rnacentral:rRNA from 1 species
UACGAAGGGGGGCUAGCGUUGUUCGGAAUCACUGGGCGUAAAGCGCACGUAGGCGGAUUGUUAAGUCGGGGGUGAAAUCCUGAGGCUCAACCUCAGAACUGCCUUCGAUACUGGCAAUCUCGAGUCCGGAAGAGGUUGGUGGAACAGCUAGUGUAGAGGUGAAAUUCGUAGAUAUUAGCUAGAACACCAGUGGCGAAGGCGGCCAACUGGUCCGGUACUGACGCUGAGGUGCGAAAAGCGUGGGGGAGCAAACAGG